AUUGAACGCUGGCGGCAUGCCUUACACAUGCAAGUCGAACGGCAGCACGGGAGCAAUCCUGGUGGCGAGUGGCGAACGGGUGAGUAAUAUAUCGGAACGUGCCCAGUCGUGGGGGAUAACGCAGCGAAAGCUGUGCUAAUACCGCAUACGAUCUACGAAUGAAAGCGGGGGAUCGCAAGACCGCGCGCGAUUGGAGCGGCCGAUAUCAGAUUAGCUAGUUGGUGAGGUAAAGGCCCACCAAGGCGACGAUCUGUAGCUGGUCUGAGAGGACGACCAGCCACACUGGAACUGAGACACGGUCCAGACUCCUACGGGAGGCAGCAGUGGGGAAUUUUGGACAAUGGGCGCAAGCCUGAUCCAGCAAUGCCGCGUGCAGGAUGAAGGCCUUCGGGUUGUAAACUGCUUUUGUACGGAGCGAAACGGUCUUUCCUAAUACGAGAGGCUAAUGACGGUACCGUAAGAAUAAGCACCGGCUAACUACGUGCCAGCAGCCGCCGUAA
rnacentral:rRNA from 1 species